rnacentral:misc_RNA from 1 species
GACCCAUUGCAUUUGCACAAGGUUUAAGCCUCCUCAAAAGGAGUAGAGAUGACUGAUGCUAGCAUACAUCUUCUGCUACCAGUGGAGGGACAAAUCUGUAACCUUGAAGAGUUUGCUCAAAGAUAUGACCAACCUUGAGUAAUUUUGCCUCAUCAAAUGCAGCUCCAAUCAUUUGAAAACCAACAGGAAGUCCUGCAGGCCCCUCUUCAACAAAUCCACAUGGCAAAACCAAUGCAGGUAACCCUGCCAAGUUAACGUUGACGGUCAUUAUGUCACCAGCAUACAUUGCCAACGGAUCAUUUUUCUUUUCACCAAUCUUAUAAGCAGCAGAAGGAGCAGCAGGAGAAAUUAGGAUGUCAUUUGCAUCUAAUGCAGCCUUGAAGCUUCUCUGGAUUAAAGUCCUCACCUGUUGAGCACGCUUAUAAUAUGCAUCAUAAUAACCAGCUGAAAGGGCAUAUGUUCCCAUCAAAAUUCUCAUUUUGACCUCAGGACCAAAUCCUUUUGCUCGAGAAUCCCCAUAAAGCAGAUUUAACUCAUCAGCAACAGCUUGCUUUCCAUACCUGACACCAUCAUAACGUGAUAAGUUGGAAGAUGAUUCUGAAGACGCAAGAAUAUAGUAAGCUGGUAAACCAAGGGAGAAAGAUGGCAAUGAUACCUCUGUCACAGUGCAUCCUAAUUCUUCUAGGUGCGAUGCAGCGCCACUGAUUGCAGAUUUUACCCCAUUAUCAACACCAUCAUCAAGAGUUUCACGUAUAAGACCAACCCUCAAUCCCUUCAAUGGUCUAGAUUCCACAAGAUUUGCAGAAGUGAACUGAGUUGUGAAAUCAGGAACCUCCCUUUUACUGCUAGUGGCAUCAUAUCUAUCAUGACCAGAAAUUGCAUGAAGAAGCAUUCCAGUAUCAGCGACUGAUGUACCAAAGCAUCCA